GGGCGUGCCAUGUGGAGUCUGCCGCAUGAAGUGGGGCGGCGUUUGUCGUCGUGACUUGCCAGUGGAUGGGAGAAUCGCGCAGUAUCCGUUGCAGGAGGUGGAGCAGGAUCGUGGCCGUUUAUCAUGGCUGGUCAGGUAGUAAUGGAGCCACGCGGGAUCCAUCAUAGGGAGUGGAGCAGUGCUGCGAUCGUUACUGCGGCCUGUCAGGG
rnacentral:lncRNA from 1 species